AUGGUCGAAUUGGCCACAGCAAUCAGGGAAACAUGUACCUCUUUCCAGGGUUAGUGUUAAUUUAUGUGUUUAUAUUCUGAAGGUCAGCCUUCCUGGGGAUGAACCGACUAUCUAUCUGAUCAUGCACGAUUGGGCUAGAAAAGAGGGGAAGUUCUUUAGUUGUGAGAGCUGAGGAAACAGUGACCUCUGCAUCCAACAUUCGAUCUUCACUGCAGAUUUGAUAUUUUGAUAAUAGGGCAAAGGGGAUGAAUUAUUGCUUUGAUAAUAGGGCAU